CUAAGUACCCCGAGGAAAAGAAAUCAACCGAGAUUCCCCCAGUAGCGGCGAGCGAACGGGGAGGAGCCCAGAGCCUGAAUCAGUGUGUGUGUUAGUGGAAGCGUCUGGAAAGGCGCGCGAUACAGGGUGACAGCCCCGUACACAAAAAUGCACAUAUUGUGAGCUCGAUGAGUAGGGCGGGACACGUGGUAUCCUGUCUGAAUAUGGGGGGACCAUCCUCCAAGGCUAAAUACUCCUGACUGACCGAUAGUGAACCAGUACCGUGAGGGAAAGGCGAAAAGAACCCCGGCGAGGGGAGUGAAAAAGAACCUGAAACCGUGUACG
rnacentral:rRNA from 1 species